CAGUAGCCGCGGUAAUACGAGGGGGGCAAGCGUUGUUCGGAAUUAUUGGGCGUAAAGGGUGCGUAGGCGGUUUGGCAAGUCUUAUGUGAAAUCUUCGGGCUCAACCCGAAGUCUGCAUGAGAAACUGCCGGGCUUGAGUAUGGGAGAGGUGAGUGGAAUCUCCGGUGUAGCGGUGAAAUGCGUAGAUAUCGGAAGGAACACCUGUGGCGAAAGCGGCUCACUGGACCAUAACUGACGCUGAGGCACGAAAGCUAGGGGAGCAAACAGGAUUAGAUACCCCUGUAGUCCCUGUCUCUUAUAU
rnacentral:rRNA from 1 species